UACGGGGGGGCAAGCGUUGUUCGGAAUUAUUGGGCGUAAAGAGCUCGUAGGCGGCCUGUUGCGUCCGCUGUGAAAGCCCGGGGCUUAACCCCGGGUCUGCAGUGGAUACGGGCAGGCUAGAGGUAGGCAGGGGAGAAUGGAAUUCCCGGUGUAGCGGUGAAAUGCGCAGAUAUCGGGAGGAACACCGGUGGCGAAGGCGGUUCUCUGGGCCUUACCUGACGCUGAGGAGCGAAAGCGUGGGGAGCGAACAGG
rnacentral:rRNA from 1 species